CCCAGACUCCUACGGGAGGCAGCAGUGGGGGAUAUUGCACAAUGGGGGCAACCCUGAUGCAGCGACGCCGCGUGAGCGAUGGAGUACUUCGGUAUGUAAAGCUCUGUCAGCAGGGAAGAGAAUGACGGUACCUGACCAAGAAGCCCCGGCUAAAUACGUGCCAGCAGCCGCGGUAAUACGUAUGGGGCAAGCGUUAUCCGGAUUUACUGGGUGUAAAGGGAGCGUAGACGGCGGUGCAAGCCAGAUGUGAAAGCCCGGGGCUCAACCCCGGGACUGCAUUUGGAACUGUGCUGCUAGAGUGUCGGAGAGGCAGGCGGAAUUCCUAGUGUAGCGGUGAAAUGCGUAGAUAUCAGGAGGAACACCGGUGGCGAAGGCGGCCUGCUGGACUGCAACUGACGUUGAGGCCCGAAAGCGUGGGGAGCAAACAGGAUUAGAUACCCUUGUAA
rnacentral:rRNA from 1 species